ACUCAAAUGAAUAGACGGGGGCCUGCACAAGCGGUGGAGUAUGUGGCUUAAUUCGAUGCAACGCGAAGAACCUUACCUGGCCUUGACAUGCACGUAGUAGGAGGGUGAAAGCCUAACGAGGUAGCAAUACCAGCGUGCACAGGUGCUGCAUGGCUGUCGUCAGCUCGUGUCGUGAGAUGUUGGGUUAAGUCCCGCAACGAGCGCAACCCUUAUGUCCUGUUGCCACUCCUACGAGAGUAGGGAGCACUCUGGACAGACUGCCUCGCUUAAACGAGGAGGAAGGUGGGGAUGACGUCAAGUCAGUAUGGCCCUUACGGCCAGGGCUGCACACGUACUACAAUGCCCGGUACAGAGGGAAGCAAGACUGUAAAGUGGAGCAAAUCCCCCAAAGCCGGGCCCAGUUCGGAUUGUCGUCUGCAACUCGACGGCAUGAAGCUGGAAUCGCUAGUAAUGGCGCAUCAGCUACGGCGCCGUGAAUACGUUCCCAGGCCUUGUACACACCGCCCGU
rnacentral:rRNA from 1 species